CGGCUAAACAGUACAGAACUAUAGAUAAAGAUAACACUGGGAAGAUUGAUAUGGCGGGAUAUGCUCAGGGUGACCUGUGGUUUGGUAAUGAGGAUCUCAUGACACCCGAUGGUACUGCCAAAUUUGACAGAC